UGGUUCUGGCAUNGAUGAAGAACGCAGCGAAAUGCGAUAAGUAAUGUGAAUUGCAGAAUUCAGUGAAUCAUCGAAUCUUUGAACGCACAUUGCGCCCCUUGGCAUUCCGAGGGGCAUGCCUGUCCGAGCGUCAUUACACCUCUCCAGCCGAGCUGGGUCUUGGGUUGCGCCUUCCCCUGCGGGGGGUGAGCCCGAAGAGCAUUGAUGGUCCUGGGGACCCUCCCGAGCGAGAAGACUUGCUAUGUGGGGGAGCCUCCGGGCCACUGAAGGGGCGCCAUCCCCGCGAUGGCGCCCAUCUCAUCGGUUGACCUCGGAUCAGGUAGGGAUACCCGCUGA
rnacentral:misc_RNA from 1 species